GACGAACGCUGGCGGCGUGCUUAACACAUGCAAGUCGAACGGAAAGGCCCUGCUUUUGUGGGGUGCUCGAGUGGCGAACGGGUGAGUAACACGUGAGUAACCUGCCCUUGACUUUGGGAUAACUUCAGGAAACUGGGGCUAAUACCGGAUAGGAGCUCCUGCUGCAUGGUGGGGGUUGGAAAGUUUCGGCGGUUGGGGAUGGACUCGCGGCUUAUCAGCUUGUUGGUGGGGUAGUGGCUUACCAAGGCUUUGACGGGUAGCCGGCCUGAGAGGGUGACCGGCCACAUUGGGACUGAGAUACGGCCCAGACUCCUACGGGAGGCAGCAGUGGGGAAUAUUGCACAAUGGGCGGAAGCCUGAUGCAGCAACGCCGCGUGCGGGAUGACGGCCUUCGGGUUGUAAACCGCUUUCGCCUGUGACGAAGCGUGAGUGACGGUAAUGGGUAAAGAAGCACCGGCUAACUACGUGCCAGCAGCCGCGGUGAUACGUAGGGUGCGAGCGUUGUCCGGAUUUAUUGGGCGUAAAGGGCUCGUAGGUGGUUGAUCGCGUCGGAAGUGUAAUCUUGGGGCUUAACCCUGAGCGUGCUUUCGAUACGGGUUGACUUGAGGAAGGUAGGGGAGAAUGGAAUUCCUGGUGGAGCGGUGGAAUGCGCAGAUAUCAGGAGGAACACCAGUGGCGAAGGCGGUUCUCUGGGCCUUUCCUGACGCUGAGGAGCGAAAGCGUGGGGAGCGAACAGGCUUAGAUACCCUGGUAGUCCACGCUGUAAACGGUGGGUACUAGGUGUGGGGUCCAUUCCACGGGUUCCGUGCCGUAGCUAACGCUUUAAGUACCCCGCCUGGGGAGUACGGCCGCAAGGCUAAAACUCAAAGGAAUUGACGGGGCCCCGCACAAGCGGCGGAGCAUGCGGAUUAAUUCGAUGCAACGCGUAGAACCUUGCCUGGGUUUGACAUGGAUCGGGAGUGCUCAGAGAUGGGUGUGCCUCUUUUGGGGUCGGUUCACAGGUGGUGCAUGGCUGUCGUCAGCUCGUGUCGUGAGAUGUUGGGUUAAGUCCCGCAACGAGCGCAACCCUUGUUCACUGUUGCCAGCACGUUAUGGUGGGGACUCAGUGGAGACCGCCGGGGUUAACUCGGAGGAAGGUGGGGAUGACGUCAAGUCAUCAUGCCCCUUAUGUCCAGGGCUUCACGCAUGCUACAAUGGCUGGUACAGAGAGUGGCGAGCCUGUGAGGGUGAGCGAAUCUCGGAAAGCCGGUCUCAGUUCGGAUUGGGGUCUGCAACUCGACCUCAUGAAGUCGGAGUCGCUAGUAAUCGCAGAUCAGCAACGCUGCGGUGAAUACGUUCCCGGGGCU
rnacentral:rRNA from 1 species